CCAUGAAAUUAAUUGCUAUAUAGUAGCCCACUGUAUGGCUGUUUACUAAUUUACUGAACAAUUUCCCAUGAUUAUCUAUUUCUUCUUUUUAUGAUAAAUAGCAAUGUAAUGAACAUUAUUUUAUCAAAUACAUAUUCAUUCAACUAAUAACUUUUGAGUCCCUUCUAUGAGCAUGUGCCUAGGAAAUAUAAUCUUUGUUCUUAAAAACUUAUAGCAGCCCAGAUGUCAUAAACACCAAAUAUCAGUGACUCUGACAUAUUUCAAGACACCCAGAUUGUGAAAAGAAGAGAGGGGAAUAUUCUCAAAAGUUUGUUAACCAAAGGAUCAAACAGAACAACUAUACAUGAAGUCCCCAUUUCCAUAAUGGGAGAUCAGCAACAUCACAGGAUACUGAAUUCUACCGUUGCUUUAUAAUGUCCAGCUUGGCAGCUCAGAUUCUUUCUAGACACUAGAUCUACAGCAGCGUGAAAACGGACUAGUACGGACUCCACGCAGAUCUCCCAGAGGAAGGCAUUGAGAGGCGAGAGGAAGCAGACCCUGGGCUGAAAAUGGAGGAAGCUGGGAACCCUGCAAGGAGCUGCAGAGCACCCGGACUCCUUACGCACCUCCAGCAACUCCUAGAGAAUGAGAGGUGGACACCCAGCAGGCAAGAACAUCAUCAGAGGGACUGACAUUCAGGUUUGCAAAUGAACAUUUUUCUGAAGAUGCCACCUACUUUUGUUAAACUUCCUCAUGGAUACAUUACAGAUCAUCUACUGGAAGAAAUAUUUGCUGUCUUGAGACUGUCAGGAUUCCCAGACAGCCUGUAUCAUCAGUAUCACAGGAGGAAAAAAUAAAUAAUUUGUAAAACCACCCUGUGUCCAUAAACCUGAUCUCAACAAAGUAGCAAGACUGUCAACAGAGUUUAGCAAAAAAUGUCUAUCUCACCACUAUGAUAUUUGAGAUAAUACUCAAGAAAAUAUCUUACCUUUAUUACAAGUUAAAGCUACAAUAAUGCGACUUAUAUUUCACU
rnacentral:lncRNA from 1 species